rnacentral:rRNA from 1 species
CCCUGGCACAAUACUGACGCUCAGGUGCGAAAAGCGUGGGGAGCAAACAGGUAUUAGAUACCCUGGUAGUCCACGCCGUAAACGAUGUCUACUAGCUGUUCGUGGUCUUGUACUGUGAGUAGCGCAGCUAACGCACUAAGUAGACCGCCUGGGGAGUACGGUCGCAAGAUUAAAACUCAAAUGAAUUGACGGGGGCCCGCACAAGCGGUGGAGCAUGUGGUUUAAUUCGACGCAACGCGAAGAACCUUACCUACUCUUGACAUCUAGCGAAGAUUGCAGAGAUGCAGUUGUGCCUUCGGGAACGCUAAGACAGGUGCUGCAUGGCUGUCGUCAGCUCGUGUUGUGAAAUGUUGGGUUAAGUCCCGCAACGAGCGCAACCCUUAUCCUUAGUUGCCAGCACGUAAUGGUGGGAACUCUAGGGAGACUGCCGGUGAUAAACCGGAGGAAGGUGGGGACGACGUCAAGUCAUCAUGGCCCUUACGAGUAGGGCUACACACGUGCUACAAUGGUACGUACAGAGGGAGGCAAGCUGGCGACAGUGAGCGGAUCUCUUAAAGCGUAUCGUAGUCCGGAUCGCAGUCUGCAACUCGACUGCGUGAAGUCGGAAUCGCUAGUAAUCGCAAAUCAGAAUGUUGCGGUGAAUACGUUCCCGGGCCUUGUACACACCGCCCGUCACACCAUGGGAGUGGGUUGCAAAAGAAGUAGGUAGCUUUAUCCUUCGGAGGGCGCUUACCCACUUUGUGAUUUCAUGACUGGGGUGAAGUCGUACCAAGGUAACCAAAUCACUUAGUG